UACAGAGGGAGCAAGCGUUGUUCGGAUUUACUGGGCGUAAAGGGCGCGUAGGCGGCAAUUCAAGUCACUUGUGAAAUCUCCGGGCUUAACUCGGAACGGUCAAGUGAUACUGCUUUGCUAGAGUGCGGAAGGGGCAAUCGGAAUUCUCGGUGUAGCGGUGAAAUGCGUAGAUAUCGAGAGGAACACCUGAGGUGAAGACGGGUUGCUGGGCCGACACUGACGCUGACAGCGCGAAAGCCAGGGGAGCAAACGGG
rnacentral:rRNA from 1 species